GAUCAUGGCUCAGGAUGAACGCUAGCUACAGGCUUAACACAUGCAAGUCGAGGGGCAGCAUGAACUUAGCUUGCUAAGUUUGAGUGGCGACCGGCGCACGGGUGAGUAACACGUAUCCAACCUUCCGUUUACUCAGGGAUAGCCUUUCGAAAGAAAGAUUAAUACCUGAUAGUAUGGUGAGAUUGCAUGAUAGCACCAUUAAAGAUUUAUUGGUAAACGAUGGGGAUGCGUUCCAUUAGGUAGUAGGCGGGGUAACGGCCCACCUAGCCGACGAUGGAUAGGGGUUCUGAGAGGAAGGUCCCCCACAUUGGAACUGAGACACGGUCCAAACUCCUACGGGAGGCAGCAGUGAGGAAUAUUGGUCAAUGGGCGAGAGCCUGAACCAGCCAAGUAGCGUGAAGGAUGAAGGUCCUACGGAUUGUAAACUUCUUUUAUACGGGAAUAAAGUAUCCUACGUGUAGGAUUUUGUAUGUACCGUAUGAAUAAGCAUCGGCUAACUCCGUG
rnacentral:rRNA from 1 species